UACAGAGGGUGCAAGCGUUGUUCGGAAUUAUUGGGCGUAAAGGGCGCGUAGGCGGCGCUGUAAGUCGGGUGUGAAAAUUUCGGAGCUUAACUCCGAAAACUGCAUUCGAUACUGCGGUGCUUGAGGACUGGAGAGGAGACUGGAAUUCCUGGUGUAGCGGUGAAAAUGCGCAGAUAUCAGGAGGAACACCGGUGGCGAAGGCGGGUCUCUGGGCCGAUACUGACGCUGAGGAGCGAAAAGCGUGGGGGAGCGAACAGG
rnacentral:rRNA from 1 species